CAUUGGGGGCCGUGUGACCCAUCCAAUAGCUGACUGUGAUCAUCCACUUCUGUAUUUGCUAGGCCCCAGCAUGGUCUCACAAGAGAGAGCUAUAUCUGGGUCCUUUCAGCAAAAUUUUGCUAGUGUGUGCAAUGGUGUCAGCAUUUGGAAGCUGAUUAUGGGAUGGAUCCCUGCAUAUGGCAAUCACUAGAUGGUCCAUCUUUUUGUCACAGCUCCAAGUUUUGUCUCUGUAACUCUUUCCAUGGGUGUUUUGUUCCCAUUUCUAGGAAGGGGUACUUGCUAAACGCAUGAAAUUCAAGAAGAAGGAAGACCAAAGUGUGGACACUUUACCCCUUCCUAGAAAUGGGAACAAAACAUAUUAUUAUCUCCUGUAUUGAUCUCACAGAGAUCUCUGUGGGGUUCCUAGACACCCAACACAGGAGCUUCUGCUCCAGUUUGGAUUCUCCAGAAGAGCCUUUAGCAAUUUGAGAGCAAAGGUCAAGUUAAUUGAGUCUGAAUUUAGCAUUGUUUUUGGUGAAUCAGCAUCUCCGGAGAUAACCACAGGCUGACCUCAUGGGGAGGGAGGAGUAGCUUGGUAAGGAAGUGCCUGGCACAGAUGGAGCCUCCUGGGUGGCCAGCACUACUGGUCACCCUGUGGGGACAUCACUGGCUGAGAUUUGUCUAGUGCUGUCUCAUAUCUCUCUUUUUAUGUUUGUUCCAAUUUCGUGUGUAUGUGUUUUUACACACAUGCACGUCUGUGUGUGUUUACAUGCAUGUAUAUCUGUGGGUAUGCAUGUAUGUAUACAUUUCUGUGUGUAUAUGUGUGCAUAUGCAUGUGUGCACGCAUUUGUGUAUGUGUAUGUAUUAGGCAUUUUUGUAUGGUGUCAAAUGUGUGUGCAUGUAUUAUGCAUCUAUGUGUGUGUAUGUGCAUGUAUUAUGCAGUGUGUGUAUGUGUGUUCGUAUGCUGCAUCUCUGUGGGUGCAGGUGUAGACCUGGGUGGUGCAGUGUAGAGGUCAGAGCACAGUUCCAGCUUCUCUCUUUAUGUGCAUUCCCCCUUUUGUGUGAGGUAGGUUCUCUCAUUGAACUUAGCCAGGAACUUCACAUAGGCCAGACUAUCUGCCCCCAGGCUUCUGGGGAUACACUUCUCUCUGCCUUCCAUCUUACUGGCACUAGGAUUACAGGACAGAGUUGCCACACCCAGCUCUUUGUGUGGAUGCUGGGAACACUUGCUUCUGUUUCUUGCUUGAGAAUGAUGCUUAGAGCGUCUAUGCUAUCCUUGAAUGAAGGGACCUUGACUUUUGAGUUCUGCAAUGUCUGGAGCUGACUUAUGGUCUAUUGAUGGUUGGUAUGGUUUCCCACCAUUUAGUGGUAGUGGGGUUCCCCUGGGAAAAGUUGGAGGGUGGGCAUGGUACAUCUCUGGGCCCUCAACUCCUCUGCACAAACUGCCCCAUAUGCAUUGACCCUAGGCUUGGGCUGCAUUUCUGGGUGUUUCAAAGUGGCAUGUGAGGGAGGUGGCAAAAAACACUGGCAUCCUUGCUUGACUUUUCCUUCAUUCAGGGAGAGGAGGGUCCAAGAGGACGUGAAUCUGAGGGGUCAUGUUUGUGGGUCUGGUGAGUUUUGUGGAACACUGGACUGCCUACAGAGAAGGCCCCCACAGUGGUUCCAUAAAAGGUGGUCCUGUCUUCUGACCAGUUCUUAUGGUCGUGGUGUUGGGCUGUGCAGGUAGGCAGGAGAUGAGAGGAGCCAGAGUCAGUCUGUAGCAAACCCGUCCAGAUGCCACUUCCGUGACACUGUGAGUGACUCCAUUCCUGAAGCCUGGCCAGAAUGGGAAUUCCCCCUUCCUGGAAUAUACAGAUACUCCUCGACUCUCAAUGGGAUCCCCUCCCGGAAGCCCACUUCAGGCUAAACGCACCAGGACUGGAAAGUGAGUCAAAAUCUCUCACCCUCUCCCACCCCGUGGCCCCUGGCUGAAGUCGGGGUCACUCUGCUGUGCUGAAAUGUGGGAGAAGUUCAGACUGCAUAUCUACCCCUGGCCUGAGGAGACAGCAAACUCAAACCGCAAGUACACUUGUUUUGUUUUUGUUGUUGUUUUGUUUUGCAUAGGGUAUCCUGUAGCUCACACUCACCAUACACUAGGUAUGUAACCAAAGGUGACCCUAAACUUCUGAUCCUCCUGCCUCCACCUCCCCAGUGCUGGAAUGACAGGUUUGUGCCACCAUACUGGGUUUCUGUUGUGCUGAGGAAAGCCUUGUGCAUGCUGGGCAGGCACUCUACCAACCAAGCCACAUCCCCAGCCCUGAAAUAGUUUCUAUUGAAUGAAUGUUGCUUAUAUACUGUGGGAGAGGAAAACAAAAUGUCAAAACUUAGUAAGACAGGAUCUGUUUGAACUUUCUUUCCUUUUUUAAGUGGGAUGGAAAAAUGGCUGAGUGGUUCACGUGAUUGCUGCCCAACUGUAAGGAAUGGACUUCAGGACCCCAGAAAUCCAUGGAAAUGCCCCAAAGGUUGGGGUCAGCCUCAGAAGGUGGAGAAGAAGGAUCCCCAGAGCAAGACUAGCCAGCCACACAGGAUGAGACACUCCUCCACUACUCCUCUACUCCCACCGUGGUGAUGUCGAGAACAUGAAUGGAACCCUCUGAGUCUGUGAACCAGAAGAGACCCUUCCAGUGGAGAGACGCUUCAGUCAGCAAAGCACUGGCUGUGUGAGCUUGAGGAAGGGCCUGAGUUCUAUCUGCAGCUCCUAUGUACAGCAAGCCAGAAAGGUGGCGUGUGUGUAUGACACCAGCAUUAGGGAGGUGGGGAUUGGUGGAUGCUGGGGGCUCUCUGGAUAGCUUGAUUUUUGAUACAAGAUCUCUUAGCAAACCUGGAACUCAUUAUUUUGACUAGACUGGCCAGUGGAUGGGGGUCUGCUUGUGUCAAGAUCCAACACUGGGAUUACAGUCGUAUAUCACCAUAUCCAGCUUUAAAGUCGUGUUGAGGAUUUGAACUCAGGUCCUUGUGCUUGACCACUGAGCCAUCUCCCAGGCUCCAAAUUGGGGUACUAUCUGUCAUCCUCAUGUUCAGUUUCUCUUGUUGGUUGGCAGGCCUGCCUCAAAUCAUGGUUCAUGGGCACCCACUUGGAGGUUGAGUUCCAGGCUGAGAGUAGACCUUCAGUGACGUUGGGUUUGAGUGUGGGUGUCAUUUCUAUUUGCUUUGAAAUCGGUCAGUUACAAAUCCCUUGCAGAUCAGAGAGUUGACAGGUAUCAGAGAACGGGUGUCUUGAAAUGGCUUCGCAGGUCAGUUGGAUGAGGCUGAGAGCCACUGGCAGCACAGCUGAUCACAGACUGUAAAUGCCUGGUGUCUGUGACACAAGGCUGCUGCCACUGCUGGCCUCGUGUUCACAGACAGUGCCAGAUGGGAGGGAGGAAUGGGCAGGAGGGGUGGCCAUUUGUCUUGAUUCUUGCAUGAAGUUCCCUUUUUUCUUAGGGAAAGGAUCCAUCUGGUAAUCAGAUUGCAAGCCAAGAUAGCUGCUUUGGGGUCAUGGGACCUCCAAUUGAUGUGUCCUGUCAACCACACAGCUCCACCCCCACCCCCCAAAGUUGCUCUGGUCGCCAGGCUUGCCUCCACAAAUGAAAGUCAUCAGGAGGGUGCUUGCCAGUAGAAGCUUCCAGAGAUGUGGUGGGAGAGUCUGCUUUUCAUCUUCCUCUCAGCUUCAGCUCCAUGAACCCGGCUCCCACCUUGUACUUUUAAGGUUGCCUGUGUGCAUGCGUAUGUGUGUGUGCGUGUAUGUGCAUGUAUGUGCAGAUAUGUGCCUGUGUGCUUUCAUCUGUACACAUGAGUGUGUGCAUGUGAGCAUGUGUACGUAAGUGUGUGCACAUGCCUUUCCUUUCCUUUCGUAUGAAGCUCUGGUGGAUGCCAGAGGGUCAAAGAAGCCAUCUGGAUUUGCACCUGAGUUCACAGCCAUCCUCCUCAGCUGUUUAACUUCCUGGACCUUAGCCUCCCCAUUUUCUACAUACACCUGCACUCUGAGAUGUUCCAGAGAUGUCUGUGCAUCCACAGAGCAUCGGUGGAGAGGCUUGCACACAGGGGGCUCCGCCAUUCUGCUCUCCUGAAGCACUCUGUUCUAGGCCAGCAUGGCACCAAGAUGCCCUUUAAUUAUGGCAAAGAGCCUCAGAGGGAGAGGCUUGCCAGGGCCUUGGCCACUGUCUCUCCUGUGCCUCAUGGAUUCACUUCUAAUGAGGCACUGAUGGGUAUGUGGACGAGCUUCUUUUCUGAAGACCAUGAAGGGCUGAUUUUGCUCUGACCACAUCUCGGAUAUGCCCC
rnacentral:lncRNA from 1 species